GUAUGACAAGCCUGCCUGAGGCAGACAAAACUCCCACUGAGAACUGGAAAAAUGCAAAAUGAAAAAUUUAUCUUGAAAUGACCAGAGAGCUAUCAGAGACAUUCAGGAAAUGAAUAAGAAAUAAACUAGAGCAAUAUCAUAUUACUUGAAGACAGACUCUGAUUAUGUAUACUGUAAAUUCUGUGGCAGCCAAUACAAAAAUUAAACACAUUAUAGAUUAUGAGUCAAAAGGUGAAGAUAAAAUAAAAUCAUAAAAUAUGUCCAAUCAACUCAAAAGAAAUCAGAAAGAUGAAAUUUAAAAAAAAACAAAAUAGAUGGAACAAAUAGAGAUCUAGCAAGAUGGCAGAUGUUAAUCAAAAUGCAACAAAUAUAAUUUUAGCAGCAUAAACACACCAAUUCAAGGACAGAGAUUGACAGAGUGUGUAUAAAAGCAAGACAAAACUAUAGGCUGUCACAAGACAGCCACCUGCACAUACAAGAGUUCAAACAGAAAGAAUGAAGAAACAGACACCCUGAAACACAACACACAAGUAACAUUAUCAGGUAUAAAGAGAAACAAAUCUUUGUGUGUGUGUGCACCUAACAACUAACAAUACAUUUUAAAAUAUAUAAAUAAAUCUGAUAGAAAUGAAAGGUAAAACAGACAAGUCCACAAUUAUAGUUUAAGAUUUCAUCACUCCUUUGUCAAUAAUUAAUAGAACAAGUAUUUAGAAAGUCAAGGAGAGUACAGAAAAGCUGAACAACACCGUCAACCAACUCUAUCCAAUUGACACCUGCCUAUGGAAGAGUCCACUCACCCACAGAAGAGUACAGAGACUCUUCCAAUGUGCAUGGAACAAUCACUAACACAGGCCAGACUCUGGGCUAAAAAACAAAUCUCAACAUGUUUAAAUAAAUAGAAAUAUACAGUGUGCUCAGAGAUUGUGAUCGAUAAUUAUAAUGGAAUUAAACUGGAAAAAACCUAGCAAAAAUAUAUCUGGAAAAUUUCUCCAAAUAUUUGGAGAUAAAAUUGUGCAUGACUAAAUAACCUGUGAGUCAAAGUAGUUUCAGCUAAAAGUAAACAUUAUUUUAAAGUAUAGAGGAAAUUAAAUGUGACAUCAGAACUUGCAGGAUCUAACUAAAGUAGUUCUUAGGGGAACAUUUUUAUUUAAAUACCUAUAUUAUAAGAGAAGAAUCUCAAAUGACUACUCUAAGCUGGUAUUAUAAGAAAUUGGGAAAAGAAGACAAAAUGAAGCCCAAAACAAGAAGAAAUAAUAAAGAUGAACAGAACCCCAGAUUUAGAAAAUAUACAUUUUUAAAAAAUUAAUAAACCAAAAUCCACUUAUUUGAAAAGAUCAAUACAGUUGAUUAGCUUUUAGACAGACUUAUCACAGAAAAAAGUCAGAAAGCACAAAGUACCAUAUCAAUAAUGAAAGAGAAUACAUCAUUACAGAUUGUGUACAUAUUAAUAAACCUAUAAGAUUAAUUUUGAAGCAUAGAUGACAUAGACCAAUUUCUUGAAAGAUACAAACUACCAAAAGUCAAUAAAUGAGAAAUAGAUUAGAUGAGUAGUUCUAUUAUUUAUUAAGGAAGUAAAAUCUAGAGUUAAAAACCUUCCAACAAGAAAAUAUCAGUCCCCUAAAACUAAAAAGAAGAAAAGAAAAUAUCAGGCCCAGGUGGCUUCACAUGUAAAUCCUAGCAAAUUUUUAAGGAAGAAAUAAUACCAAUUAAAUAUGAUAUCUUACAGAAUGUAGAAGAGGAGGUAACUCUUUUCAACUUUUUUAUGACACUAAAAUAACCCUAAUCUCCAAAUCAGAAAAAAUCAUUAUAAGAAAAUGACAGAGUUCUCAUGAACUUAGACACAAAAAUUCUCUAUAAAAUAAUAGAAAAUCAAAUCCAGCAAUAUAUAAAAAGGACAAUACAUUUUGACUGUAGAGGGAUGAAUUGUGUCCUCUAAACAAAUACUGAAGGACAGUGUCCUCAGCAAGAUGUUGGAUAGAAGCUUUCAAUCCUCAUUCCCCAGCAGAAACGGGGAUCUUGACAUACCCAAGACAAGAGGACCAUUGUUAGAGGCUGGCAGUCUGGCAGAGGGAGCCCAAUACCCUACUGGAGGAAAAGGUUCAAGAGUAAACACAUUGAGGAAGUUGAUCUCCAGCACCUGAAGCCCUUCUCAAAAACGUUGAUAUAAUCAAGAUUUGCCCUGCCAAAAAUCGAUCUAUCACUGCCCACGUGCCCUGCAUCUGCAGUUCAGUGCUAGAAGUCCUAAGGAGGUUCUCCUGAGGGUAUUUUCCACUCACUUACUAAGCAAUAUUUUAAAAAUAAUUACGGGUUCCUUGCUCAUUUUGCUUAAGCUGUUCUGUAUUGAAAGAGUUUCCUUAUAUUUCCUGAAACGUUUCCAGUGCUGAUAUGGAUUCUUCCGUAUUAUCAUAUUCCUAGUUCAGUUUAAUAGAUCUUUGGUGAAGGUGGGCUUCUAUCAGGGAUGGUUAUGUCAACAAAGGUAGCUUUAGGGAAUAUGUUUAGAGGGUGUUACAAUGGCUACAAUGACAGUUAGCCUUUUGUUUUAUCCUUUCACCCAUUGGAAUGCUUUUAUGGGUCAUUGGCCACUUCAACUGGGCCUGAGUUUACUUCAAAGCAGGGAAGCUUUGGGUUUGUGAUGGAGUUGACAAUGUUGAAAAAGGGUUUGGUCCACCAGUCGAUCACUUCGUACCUUAAAAUUACUUCAUUCUAGAGGCAAAAGCCCUCAUUCUAACUUUCACAAAACACCCUUUCCUCAGGCCAGUUCUACUGAAUUCUCCUGACAGAGACCUGAGCAGAGCCUCAGCUGUAUGGCAGCACACUUGGGAUAACAGGGUGUGGAUAACGUGUCUCCAUCUGAUGCGGGAGAAUUGCAGGUCCUCAGCCUGACAGCGUACCUGCUCCACGGCAUAAGCUGCAUUGAGUGUGGGUCGCCAGCAACAUCGGCUUCUCCAUCUGGUCUUGGCAGGAGAAGUUCUAUAGUAGCUGCAGAAAUAUUUGGGAGGACCUUCAAAUGUGUCUCUAUUGUUGGGAAAGUUUCUUUACAAUCAGAAAAGUAAAGACAGUUCAGGGUCAUUUUCACAUGUGUUCACAUUAGUGGCCUUCGUAACAGUAAACCCACAAGCCAAAGUCCUAGUCGUGAAGCUGGAGCUCCUUGACCUAAUAGUUCCUACACUUCUGCAAACCUUCCAAGGGUAUCAGCUGGAAGGGAUAGGUCAUUGUUGCCAACGGUGGCCAGAAGGUGCAAGAAGCCUUGGUGCAGCAGACUGCCUGACACUCCACAUGCCCUUCUGACUCAGUCCCAAACCAGCAAAACUGCUAAACGGAACUCCAUGCAGCUAUUGGUGCACAAUUGGCAAAAUAAACUGUGCAAUACAGGUGCCAAAUCAAAAUGUGUAUAAAAAAUACACUGGAUUAAUUCUAGGUUAACUCAUGUAGAAAGGGUUCAAAGUCUGCAAAGGAUGGAGAAACAGGAGUAAUUCUCUGUGUUAAAAGACAAAUAUUUGCAUGAAUGUUUGAUGUAAUUUGUGAUCAUAAGAAAGUGCUUACACCUGACAGAUAAAGUUGAAACUGUCCUUCCUGUGUUCAUAGUUAAUGACAUUUUUCUGGUUUUGAAGUGUUAAUUUCGAUAGUUUUAAUGUAUCAGAAAAUCAUCUUUUAAUUCAAAUUUUCAGAUUUAUUAGCAUGCAUUUGCACAUAGCAUUCCUAUAACUAUUUCCCACAUGAUGUAGAUUAUAUUCACUUCCUUAUUUGUAAUUUUUACAAAUUCUUCUUAUUCUGUAUUUUCUAAUGUUCAUGUUUUUACUUCUCCAUUUAUUCUGCAGACAAUUUUCCAUUACAUAUAUUUUAAAAGUUAACUUUCAUAAUUACUAAGUCUGUUGUUUUCUUUAUCUGUCUAUUUCUUAUUUACUUAUGCAUAAUAAAUCCUCUCUUUUUAAAAACUAUUGCUUUUUAUACAUUAUGGCAUUUAAUGAAAUACGUUAGUUUCUUUUUUAAAUAAGUUACUUCUGCCUGUAAAGUUAUCAAGGCUUUGAACAGAUAUUUCAAAGAAGAUAUACAAAUGCCAAAUAAGGACAUGAGAAACUGUUCAAAAUCAUUAGUAGUCAUCAAGAAAAUACCAGUGAAAAUCACAAUCAGAUAUCGCAACCCAC
rnacentral:lncRNA from 1 species